UACGUAGGGUCCGAGCGUUGUCCGGAAUUAUUGGGCGUAAAGAGCUCGUAGGCGGUCUGUCGCGUCGAUCGUGAAAACUUGGGGCUUAACCCUGAGCUUGCGGUCGAUACGGGCAUGACUGGAGUUCGGCAGGGGAGACUGGAAUUCCUGGUGUAGCGGUGAAAUGCGCAGAUAUCAGGAGGAACACCGGUGGCGAAGGCGGGUCUCUGGGCAGUAACUGACGCUGAGGAACGAAAGUGUGGGGAUCAAACAGG
rnacentral:rRNA from 1 species